CAAAGCUUGCCUCUACAUGUAAGCAAGCGCUACCGGAGGGGCCCGCGCCCCAUUAGCUUGUUGGUGAGGUAACGGCUCACCAAGGCCGCGAUGGGUAGCCGGCCUGAGAGGGCGAUCGGCCACACUGGAACUGAGACACGGUCCAGACUCCUACGGGAGGCAGCAGUGAGGAAUUUUGCGCAAUGGGCGAAAGCCUGACGCAGCGACGCCGCGUGGAGGAGGAAGGUCCUCGAAUCGUAAACUCCUGUCAAGUGGGAAGAAUCCUGGAAGGAUGAAUAAGCCUGCCAGUUGACGGUACCACUGGAGGAAGCCCCGGCUAACUCCGUGCCAGCAGCCGCGGUAAUACGGAGGGGGCUAGCGUUGUUCGGAAUUAUUGGGCGUAAAGGGCGCGUAGGCGGCCAGGCCAGUCAGUUGUGAAAUCCCUCGGCUCAACCGAGGAACUGCACCUGAUACUGCCAGGCUUGAGUCCCGGA
rnacentral:rRNA from 1 species